AAGAUUAUGAAUGAGUAGAUUACUGGGGGAAUCGCUGAAUAUGGCCUGCGCUUAAUUGCGCGGCUAAUUCUUGAUUUUCUGCUAUCAGUUUUCUUUCUCUCAUCCUAAACACAAUGGAGUUUUUUCUCUAUGAACUACUUCCCUGGAGAGCUCGUCUCUCCAGUGGACAUAAACACAAACAACAUUUUGCAUUAUGAAAAACUAUUUAUCAAGAAAUUUAAUAUUCA
rnacentral:precursor_RNA from 1 species